UCCGGUUUGUCACCGGCAGUCACCUUAGAGUGCCCAACUAAAUGCUGGCAACUAAGAUCAAGGGUUGCGCUCGUUGCGGGACUUAACCCAACAUCUCACGACACGAGCUGACGACAGCCAUGCACCACCUGUCACCGGCCCCAAAAGGGACCCCCCAUCUCUGAAGGAUUACCAGUGAUGUCAAACCCAGGUAAGGUUCUUCGCGUCGCAUCGAAUUAAUCCGCAUGCUCCGCCGCUUGUGCGGGCCCCCGUCAAUUCCUUUGAGUUAUAGCCUUGCGGCCGUACUCCCCAGGCGGGGCGCUUAAUGCGUUAGCUACGGCACAGAAGACCGGGAAGGCCCCCCACACCUAGCGCCCAACGUUUACGGCUAGGACUAC
rnacentral:misc_RNA from 1 species